rnacentral:rRNA from 1 species
AUUGAACGCUGGCGGCAGGCCUAACACAUGCAAGUCGAGCGAGCGGCGGACGGGUGAGUAAUGUGUGGGAAACUGCCCGAUGGAGGGGGAUAACUCCUCGAAACGGUAGCUAAUACCGCAUAUCAUCAGAUGUGCCCAGAUGGGAUUAGAUGGUAGGUGGGGUAACGGCUCACCCAGGCGACGAGCCCUAGCUGGUCUGAGAGGAUGACCAGCCACACUGGAACUGAGACACGGUCCAGACUCCUACGGGAGGCAGCAGUGGGGAAUAUUGCACAAUGGGCGCAAGCCUGAUGCAGCCAUGCCGCGUGUGUGAAGAAGGCCUUCGGGUUGUAAAGCACUUUCAGCGGGGAGGCGUUACCCGCAGAAGAAGCACCGGCUAACUCCGUGCCAGCAGCCGCGGUAAUUC